rnacentral:rRNA from 1 species
AUUGAACGCUGGCGGCAGGCCUAACACAUGCAAGUCGAGCGAGCGGCGGACGGGUGAGUAAUGUCUGGGAAACUGCCUGAUGGAGGGGGAUAACUACUGGAAACGGUAGCUAAUACCGCAUACCAUCAGAUGUGCCCAGAUGGGAUGAGCUAGUAGGUGGGGUAACGGCUCACCUAGGCGACGAUCCCUAGCUGGGCUGAGAGGAUGACCAGCCGAACGCGAACUGAGACCGGGUCCAGACUCCUACGGUAGGCAGCAGUGGGGAAUAUUGCACAAUGGGCGGAAGCCUGAUGCAGCCAGGGCGCGUGUGUGAAGAAGGCCUUGGGGUUGUAAAGCACUUUCAGCGGGGAGGCGGUACCCGCAGAAGAAGCACCGGCUAACUCCGUGCCAGCAGCCGCGGUAAUUC